GAUCAUGGCUCAGGAUGAACGCUAGCUACAGGCUUAACACAUGCAAGUCGAGGGGCAGCAUUAUCGAAGCUUGCUUUGAUAGAUGGCGACCGGCGCACGGGUGAGUAACGCGUAUCCAACCUUCCCCAUAGUAGGGCAUAGCCCGUAGAAAUGCGGAUUAAUACCCUAUGUAUUCCGAGGAUGACAUCUGAUUCGGAACAAAGGUUCACCGCUAUGGGAUGGGGAUGCGUCUGAUUAGGUAGUAGGCGGGGUAACGGCCCACCUAGCCGACGAUCAGUAGGGGUUCUGAGAGGAAGGUCCCCCACAUUGGAACUGAGACACGGUCCAAACUCCUACGGGAGGCAGCAGUGAGGAAUAUUGGUCAAUGGGCGAGAGCCUGAACCAGCCAAGUAGCGUGCAGGAUGACGGCCCUAUGGGUUGUAAACUGCUUUUAUACAGGGAUAAAGUCGGGGACGCGUUCCCCGUUUGCAGGUACUGUAUGAAUAAGGACCGGCUAAUUCCGUGCCAGCAGCCGC
rnacentral:rRNA from 1 species